AAUCUCAAUCCAAUUCAAAUCUUCCAAGAAGUUAUUAUCGAACAACGGUAUGUGGAAUGCACUUCUUCAGCAAUUCAAUCUCUGAUUCUCUUUCAAAAGUUGCAUCCUGGACAUAGGGAAGCGGAGAUAAAGACGUGUAUCUGCAAAGCUAUAGCUUAUAUUGAAGAUGAACAAAAAACAAGAUGGCUCAUGGUUUGGUCGCUGGGGCAUUUGUUACACGUACGCGACCUGGUUUGCGGUGGAAGCACUGGUUGCUUCAGGAAAGAACUAUAAAAACUCCGACUCUA